CAUUUGAGUAUCAUCACUCUUAAAUGAUUAUUAUUAUUGAUUCUCACCAUACUGAGCAACUUUUUCCUCUUUCUCUGCAGAUUCCAGAGAUGCUGAGAGAGCUAAAUGUCAUCAUAAACACAUCAGUCAGCCUUCAGGUUCAAAGGAUGGAUCACUGAACCUCCCGUCUCAUACUCAUAAUCCCCGAUCUUCACUGUUGCCAGUCGCCCACCAACAGUGCCAGACUCAAACACAUCGAUCUUCACCCCGGGUCCAAACUCCUGUCGCAGGUAAUACGCUGCUGCUGUGCCACCAAUGCCCGCUCCGACCACAGCUUUAAAGAAGCAAUGACAACAGAUCAACAAAGUGUCACUACUUCGUCCACGAUCACAGAGUGUCUUCGUACAUUGUAGAAGUUCUUUGAGACCAGGACUGAGGCCUCCAGGAUUCAAACGUCAACCAUUAAAUCACAGAGAGAAGAGACAGUUGUGAAGACAUUUCCAGAAGGUGCUGCGGUCUUCUCCUCCUCCUCCUGCAGAGAAAGAACACAUUAAUAACAGACACGGUCCAAAGCUUCAAGUCUCAUUUUCUGACGGUCUUGGACGCCUUACUUAAUAUAAAGCUGUUUGUGAAUUACCUGGAGGCCCCUGUCCAUGUCUCAAAGAACUUCUUCAUUGUACAUAGACACUCUGCGAUCGUGGAUGAUGUCUCGGACAAAGUGGUGACACCUGGAGGCGAUCAAAGAGAAACAUAUGAAGGAAAAUGAUCAAUACACUACUACCUAUUAAACAUUACAGCUAAACCAGAACAUUUUCCAAACAUUGGAGGACUGUUUCAGAAAAUGAACCGUUGAAUAUCAUCACCUACGACAUUUUUUGACAAUUUUUGAAAAAUCUGGACCUGAAAUUUUGCUCCAAACGAUGACCCGCCGCCUGUCGCCAAUAUCAAAAAUUGUGGUGUCAAGUUUUUCAAAGAAUUCACUCAAAACCUGUCCAAAUCCACUUCAAAUGUAAUAAAACAUGCCCCUGAGUCAUUUUUAGGUGAAAAAUCUGGACCUGAAAUUUUGACAUUUUUCGCUCCAAACGAUGACCCGCCGCCUUAAGCCUUAUUAUACUAUGACAUUUCUUGAGUUUUUGACAUCUCAUUAUAAUAUAUACUUUAUUUUUUUAAUGUUUUUGUAUACUGUUUUACUAUCACGAGACAUUUUACUUCAAUUACUCCAAUAGUAGAUUACUUUUACCAUUACAUAAUAACUUUUCUUACUACAUAUUACUACUAUGUUUACUAUGUUUAUAAUCUUUACUGUUGCAAAUUGCAUCUAAUAACACUUUGACUAUUACAUUUUGUUU